rfam:Nipponia nippon contig19249, whole genome shotgun sequence.
AAACAGGUUUUUUUUAAAACCUAUCACAUCUUCAAUAAAAAAAUAU